rnacentral:rRNA from 1 species
GUGGACUUGGCGGUGCUACCAUGCAGUCGAACGGAGAUAUUAAUGAAGCUUGCGAUUUAAUAUCUUAGUGGCGGACGGGUGAGUAACGCGUGGGUAAUCUGCCCAUAAGUGGGGGACAACAGUUGGAAACGACUGCUAAUACCGCAUAUGCUGAGCAAUCAGUAAAGAUGGCCUCUGAAUAUGCUGUCGCUUAUGGAUGAGCCCGCGUCUGAUUAGCUAGUUGGUGGGGCAAUGGCCUACCAAGGCGACGAUCAGUAGCCGGCCUGAGAGGGUGAACGGCCACACUGGGACUGAGACACGGCCCAGACUCCUACGGGAGGCAGCAGUGGGGAAUAUUGCGCAAUGGGGGAAACCCUGACGCAGCGACGCCGCGUGAGCGAUGAAGGCCUUAGGGUUGUAAAGCUCUGUUUUAAGGGACGAAUGUUAUGGGAAGUAAUAUGUCCUGUAAAUGACGGUACCUUAAGAGGAAGCCCCGGCUAACUACGUGCCAGCAGCCGCGGUAAGACGUAGGGGGCGAGCGUUGUCCGGAAUUACUGGGCGUAAAGAGCACGUAGGCGGGAACUUAAGUCAGGUGUGAAAGACCGAGGCUCAACCUCGGGGUGGCACUUGAAACUGGGUUUCUUGAGGGCAGGAGAGGAAAGUAGAAUUCCUGGUGUAGCGGUGAAAUGCGUAGAAAUCAGGAGGAAUACCAGUGGCGAAGGCGACUUUCUGGACUGACCCUGACGCUGAGGUGCGAAAGCGUGGGUAGCAAACAGGAUUAGAUACCCUGGUAGUCCACGCCGUAAACGAUGGAUACUAGGUGUGGGAGGUAUCGACCCCUUCCGUGCCGCAGCUAACGCAAUAAGUAUCCCGCCUGGGGAGUACGGUCACAAGGCUGAAACUCAAAGGAAUUGACGGGGGCCCGCACAAGCGGUGGAGCAUGUGGUUUAAUUCGAUGCAACGCGAAGAACCUUACCAGGUCUUGACAUCCAAAGAAUCCCUUCGAAAGUUGGGAGUGCCUUCGGGAGCUUUGAGACAGUGGUGCAUGGUUGUCGUCAGCUCGUGUCGUGAGAUGUUGGUUAAGUCCCGCAACGAGCGCACCCUUGCACUAGUGCUACAGUAGCUGAGCACUCUAAUGGGACUGCCGGUGACAGCCGGAGGAAGGGUGGGGAUGACGUCAAUCCACCAU